CUUCAGGAGCAUUUCAGCAACUGUGUUUCCAAGAUGAUUUGAAUUGAAUACCGAGCACCUGUGAAUCCAAGCGUGGACCUUUGAGGGGUCUUUCUUGGCUUUUGAAGAAACCUCUACCACUUAUGAUGAUUCUGUUGAUGUAGAUGUUUCCAGUGAUAGCUUCUGGGAGUUUGGAAACAACAAGUGAGCAGUCAAGAGGAUUAAUGAUGGCCUCAUGAGCUAUAUCCACCAGCCCACCCUCAUGGAGAAGGCCAACUGAAGCAGCUAAUGCAGUGGGCCGAGUGAUGGAAGCAGCUCAUGGAAAAAGGCCCACAAUGUGGGACCAUAAAAAACGCCUGUGAUUUCUGAAGUGGAGAAGCUGGAGAGCACGUUCAUACAUAAUAUUGAACCGACAUUGUCCAUUUGUGAUCAAUGGAAAACAAGGCCUUCCCCAUAGUCCAGGAGUCAGUCAUUGCUAGACUCUGUUCAGAACAAAGAUUCCAGCUCCCUUUUUCUGCAUCACUUUGAAGAUAGGAAAACUACAGCAAAGGCAGGAAGCCUUUGUAGAUCCUUUUUAGUGAUAGCUACAUUAGGUGGGCAUAGCUUGACUGUGAAUGAGCAGAUACUCCUAAGUUAACAAUAGGAAAAGGUAGAACUCAAGUAACUGGGGCUCUCCCCUACUUUGACCCUUGCCAGAAAACAGAAGCCUUUUCUCUAAUUCUUUCUAGAGCAUCUUAAGUCCACCACCAGAUGGCAGAGGGUACCAAACAUUAAGGAAUUCUGCUCCUGAAGGGAAGCUGUUUGAAAGAUCCUCUGUCUUCAUGGAAAGCCCAAAAUGCCUUCUCUUUCCUUUUCUCCAUCCUUCUUGUAUUCAAGAGUUCAUUCUUAGGGUCUGAUGUCACCUGGAAGUUUCCUAGUAUGUAGACAACCACAUUGAAUGUUCCAGUGUUUUGUGAGAUGUAUGAUUCCAAAAGUGAUCCUGAAUUCUGAACAGCAGCAUGAAACUGAAAGUGAAAUCACAAAAGUAGGGGGGGGGGGAAUUUCAUUGAAAUUGCCAGGAAGAUGAAUGGUAAUGUACUGGGAAGCCUUCAACUGAGGCCAAGUAAUCUUACAAGGAAAUGAUGCAGAGGGUACAGAGCAAAGUUAAUCCACUUAGAGUCCACUAUGGAAAGGUUUUAUUGCAACAAAUAGAAAUACUAUUUAUUUAUUAUAUCAUUAUUGUGGCUAUUUAUCCCUUAUAUGGAAGAACAAAAUAAAGGUUACUACAC